UUCCUGGUGGUCCAGUGGUUAGGACUUUGUGCUUUCACUGUCAAGGGCCCAGGUUCAGUCCCUGGUCAGGGAA
rnacentral:tRNA from 1 species